UACGUAGGGUGCGAGCGUUAAUCGGAAUUACUGGGCGUAAAGGGUGCGUAGGCGGACAGGUAAGUCAGUGGUGAAAUCUCUGGGCUUAACCCAGAAACUGCCGUUGAUACUAUUUGUCUUGAAUAUCCUGGAGGUAGGCGGAAUAUGUCAUGUAGCGGUGAAAUGCUUAGAUAUGACAUAGAACACCGAUAGCGAAGGCAGCUUACGACAGGAUGAUUGACGCUGAGGCACGAAAGCGUGGGGAGCAAACAGG
rnacentral:rRNA from 1 species